GGGCAGGUACCCAAGUGGCCAAAGGGGGCAGACUGUAAAUCUGCUGGCUUAUGUCUUCCAAGGUUCGAAUGUCAAAUUUAUCGAGACGGCGCACGUAAAGGAUUUGCUCG
rnacentral:tRNA from 1 species